UAUAGCAACACAGAAAAACAAUCCUUAUUUAUAUGCCAUAAAUAUAAAAUACAAUGAAACUAAGAAUACGUCUAUACAAAAAUGUGAACUUACUUUCACUUAUGUUCCAUUUAGAGACAGCGUCUCCUCAUGCUGAGAGGUUUAACAGCACCUCCACACCUCCUGUAUCAGACCAUUGCUGGAAUCCACUGUUCAGUGUGUGUCCGGUGUGUGUUCUCCUCUGCUCUGUCUGUGUUUUCUGCCUCUGUCGGAGGAAAGCUACAGUUGCUGCAGCAACACAGACUGAGAACAGAUAUUAUGAGGUACUGCAUCACAUGCACAUCCUGACAUCCCAGUAUAACAUUUAUUUUUUUCUCAUCAAACAUUCUACAGUUUAUAUUUUGUAUACCGAUAUUAAGUACAAUAACAAAAUACUGUUUUUUCACAGAGUGAAGAUGAAGUGUGCUACGCCUCAUUGAACACACUUUCCAUGCUGAAGAAAAAGACAUUGCAGAAUUCUGAUUUGUGUACUUACACUGAGGUCCAAACCAAAAGAACAUAGAGGAUUCUAGAACUCACUAAGGCUUGAAAUAUUUAACCCUCGGUUGUUCUAAACCCUGGAAAACGCAAUCAUGGCUCCUUGCUUCACAUUUCACACUUUUCAUUAUAAUUAACCUGGGGAUAAUUAAUCCUGGGUAUUCAGAAACAGAAACCCUGGGUUAAUAUUCUUAUUUGCAUAUUUGCAGUGUCAGUGUCAUUGAUUAGACGAAUGCAGCACUUGACCUAACUCUAGCAUUGCGCAUCCUCAAACUUUAUAUUUCAGACUUGCUGUCAAGCAAUGUAAGAAUGAAAUGGGCUCUUCUUUAUUUCUUCCCUGUGUUUUUCCAUUUGAUAUUGAUUUUUCUCUGUUGGGCAGAGAUUUCGGCCACCUGAGCAAAAACACUUUUUUGUUUUUAAAUAAUAUUUUUAUUUUAUUUUAUUUUUAUAAGCAAAAAACAGUAACCUACAUGAGAUAAAAAAACACACAUUUACGCACAGACCAAAAAAACAAACAAAAAACGGACUGCCUAAAUUAACAAAUAUAUAUAACAGUGUUCACAAUUGUUUUAUAAUAGCAAAAACAUUCUUUAAACCAGACCUGUACAGCACACGCACAAAAAAUUGUAACUUUUAACUUCAGUGUGCUAUUUAUAUUUCAUUUGACCCUUGAUGUAACUACACGAUGCACAUUUUUAGGUUACCUGAGUUUGGACAAAAAAAAAAAUAAAAAAAUAAAAAAAAUUAAAUAACCAGAAUGGAACAUCUUGGCAAAAGAGUAGUUAAAGUUCGAGGGUGUGGCUUACCAAUAUACAG
rnacentral:lncRNA from 1 species